rnacentral:rRNA from 1 species
GAUGAACGCUGGCGGCGUGCCUAAUACAUGCAAGUCGAGCGAACGGACGAGAAGCUUGCUUCUCUGAUGUUAGCGGCGGACGGGUGAGUAACACGUGGAUAACCUACCUAUAAGACUGGGAUAACUUCGGGAAACCGGAGCUAAUACCGGAUAAUAUUUUGAACCGCAUGGUUCAAAAGUGAAAGACGGUCUUGCUGUCACUUAUAGAUGGAUCCGCGCUGCAUUAGCUAGUUGGUAAGGUAACGGCUUACCAAGGCAACGAUGCAUAGCCGACCUGAGAGGGUGAUCGGCCACACUGGAACUGAGACACGGUCCAGACUCCUACGGGAGGCAGCAGUAGGGAAUCUUCCGCAAUGGGCGAAAGCCUGACGGAGCAACGCCGCGUGAGUGAUGAAGGUCUUCGGAUCGUAAAACUCUGUUAUUAGGGAAGAACAUAUGUGUAAGUAACUGUGCACAUCUUGACGGUACCUAAUCAGAAAGCCACGGCUAACUACGUGCCAGCAGCCGCGGUAAUACGUAGGUGGCAAGCGUUAUCCGGAAUUAUUGGGCGUAAAGCGCGCGUAGGCGGUUUUUUAAGUCUGAUGUGAAAGCCCACGGCUCAACCGUGGAGGGUCAUUGGAAACUGGAAAACUUGAGUGCAGAAGAGGAAAGUGGAAUUCCAUGUGUAGCGGUGAAAUGCGCAGAGAUAUGGAGGAACACCAGUGGCGAAGGCGACUUUCUGGUCUGUAACUGACGCUGAUGUGCGAAAGCGUGGGGAUCAAACAGGAUUAGAUACCCUGGUAGUCCACGCCGUAAACGAUGAGUGCUAAGUGUUAGGGGGUUUCCGCCCCUUAGUGCUGCAGCUAACGCAUUAAGCACUCCGCCUGGGGAGUACGACCGCAAGGUUGAAACUCAAAGGAAUUGACGGGGACCCGCACAAGCGGUGGAGCAUGUGGUUUAAUUCGAAGCAACGCGAAGAACCUUACCAAAUCUUGACAUCCUUUGACAACUCUAGAGAUAGAGCCUUCCCCUUCGGGGGACAAAGUGACAGGUGGUGCAUGGUUGUCGUCAGCUCGUGUCGUGAGAUGUUGGGUUAAGUCCCGCGACGAGCGCAACCCUUAAGCUUAGUUGCCAUCAUUAAGUUGGGCACUCUAAGUUGACUGCCGGUGACAAACCGGAGGAAGGUGGGGAUGACGUCAAAUCAUCAUGCCCCUUAUGAUUUGGGCUACACACGUGCUACAAUGGACAAUACAAAGGGCAGCGAAACCGCGAGGUCAAGCAAAUCCCAUAAAGUUGUUCUCAGUUCGGAUUGUAGUCUGCAACUCGACUACAUGAAGCUGGAAUCGCUAGUAAUCGUAGAUCAGCAUGCUACGGUGAAUACGUUCCCGGGUCU